CGAACGCUGGCGGCGUGCUUACCACAUGCACGUCGAACGGAAAGGCCCUGCUUUUGUGGGGUGCUCGAGUGGCGAACGGGUGAGUAACACGUGAGUAACCUGCCCUUGACUUUGGGAUAACUUCAGGAAACUGGGGCUAAUACCGGAUAGGAGCUCCUGCUGCAUGGUGGGGGUUGGAAAGUUUCGGCGGUUGGGGAUGGACUCGCGGCUUAUCAGCUUGUUGGUGGGGUAGUGGCUUACCAAGGCUUUGACGGGUAGCCGGCCUGAGAGGGUGACCGGCCACAUUGGGACUGAGAUACGGCUCAGACUCCUACGGGAGGCAGCAGUGGGGAAUAUUGCACAAUGGGCGGAAGCCUGAUGCAGCAACGCCGCGUGCGGGAUGACGGCCUUCGGGUUGUAAACCGCUUUCGCCUGUGACGAAGCGUGAGUGACGGUAAUGGGUAAAGAAGCACCGGCUAACUACGUG
rnacentral:rRNA from 1 species